AGCCCCCCUUUUCCAAAAAAUCUGAAAUUCUCUCCCCCUCUCCCCUUUGCCUGCGAACUCCGGCUUAGCUCCAGUCAUCGGCCACAGCGCCGGCCGCCUGUCGCCAGCGACGGAGCCUUCGUCUACGGCGUCCGGAAGGCCAAAAAUUCCCCUUUUUUUGGAUGAUUCGAAAAAGGUGCAACUUGAAGGCGGUGGAGCAGUGGCGUGGUAAUGGCGGUGGCAGAGGCAAUGGCAGAGGCGAUGCAGCAGGCCUAGGGGCUAGGGUUUGGGGCGAGGGCACUAGGGUAAAUUUUUUUUUUAUGUUUUUUGGUUUUGGGCGGUAUUAGGCUAAAUUGUUUAGGUUUUGGUUCUGGGCUUGUUUGGAUUUUGGUAUUUGGUUUUUGUAAUUGGGUUGGUUUAGGACUGGGCUGUUGGAUUGUAAUUUAUUUUGUUUUUUUAAAUUAUGGGCCCCGGGCUGAAUUGAGCUUGUACACUAAUAUUAUAGGAGAAUAAGUGUUUAUGUCGAUUUUAAUGCUAAUUUAUAUGCGAAUAAGUGUUUUUCCAAA